CCUGAAGGCUGAAACUGAGACAUGCAAACCAAACUGUAUUCUACGGUUAGAACUUAAAGGGGUUCAGGUGAGAACUGAGAGAAGCAGCUCAGAUAGAACUGAUUUCUUUAUAAGUCUGGAUUUCAGGAUGUGCUGCCUCAGCUGGAAUCAGAUGUUGGGAACUCGAACAGCAAAUAGUUGAAGAUUGUUUCUGGUGCUUUCCUGCGUUUGCUCCAAAUGUGGAAUCACUGGAAUUCUCCGGUUGCAGCAAACUCCACUUUGACGGUGAAAGCACUGAGAACUAUUUGCCUCUAAUAUCUGACCCGUGUCUGAGUGACAUGCUGAAUCCUUCAGGGCAGAUCCCGGUACAUACGUGAGGCCGCGUCCGCGCUGGCCACUGAUUGGCUCACGCUCGGUUUGACCUGCGGUUUGGUUUUCUUAACAACCUUUGGCUUCUUGCUGAGGACUCGGGGUUUCUUCAGCAGCACUCGGGGUUUCUGUGCAACGCUCCUGGUCGAUCUCCUCGCUACGAAAAGGCAGUUCAGGUGCAACUAGAGCCUUGCCAUGUCUCUUCCUGUCUGACUUGACUCUCCUCUCUGCUGAUGUUGAACCAACAGCCGCUCCACCAAAGUUUAUCCACGGAUUAACUGCAGUCAACCCUCCUCUUCAUCGAGGCGCUAACUCUUCAGACCUCUUCCUGUUGCACAAAGGCUCCGGGCAGAGCUGGAGAAUUUGUCCCAAUAACACACGUCUGCUUAAAUCUCCUGCAAAGGUUUUUAGUGACGGUCGUACAGUGACCUCUGGUGUCCUUGAUGCUUUAAACCUUCUGUACAGUUCAGAACUACUCAGAUAUUCUCUGAUUCUCCACCAACACAACUCUGAGACGCUCGUUUGACUUCUGGUUAAAUAGCUUUAAUGAUAAAGACAAGAAACACAAGGGGACACUUGAACAUCCGAGUUACACAACCUGUGGUUUGUGUGAAGUUUCCUAAAUCAUCAAGGGGCCUAACUCCAGGAAUAAGAAAUACAAAAGAUGCCUGAUUUAAAAAAUAAAUCAAAACAGAAAACAGUCUCUACAGAUUCACGUUUUGAAAAGGGGAUGACUUAUAAAACUGAAAUGUGUUGUUCUAUAUUGCAGAAGGCGACUUGAGGAAAGACACAACUUUUUAACCAGGUCUUCUUGAAAAAAAAAAAAAAAAAAGAUGUAAAAAAAUGUAUUUACAAUAAAUGGAAUUUUCAAAACAAGAAGUAAAGUCUUGUUUCUAUCUCAA